rnacentral:rRNA from 1 species
UCCACGCCGUAAACGAUGUCAACUAGCCGUCGGGUCCACUUGAGGAUUCGGUGGCGCAGCUAACGCAUUAAGUUGACCGCCUGGGGAGUACGGUCGCAAGACUAAAACUCAAAGGAAUUGACGGGGGCCCGCACAAGCGGUGGAGCAUGUGGUUUAAUUCGAUGCAACGCGAAGAACCUUACCAGCCCUUGACAUCCUCGGAAUAAUCUAGAGAUAGGUUAUGCCGGG